rnacentral:misc_RNA from 1 species
AAGUCGUAACAAGGUUUCCGUAGGUGAACCUGCGGAAGGAUCAUUAAAGAAUCGAUGACCCUCGCGGUCCCAUUCUCACCCUUUGUAUACCAAACUUCAGUUGCUUUGGCUGGCCUUCGCGGGCCGGCCAGAGGACUCAAACCCUUGAAUCUUUGCUGUCUGAGUACUAUAUAAUAGUUAAAACUUUCAACAACGGAUCUCUUGGUUCUG